GGAAGUGAGGGUGAGCUGGCCGUGACAUCUGUCACCCUACUUCUCCAAAGUUGACUUGGAGUAUCUCCUUCCUUCCUCACCACUCCAUAUGUGCCUCUCUUAAAAGAUGUGCACUCCGUAGACACAGACAACCUGCCCCAAAUAAAGGAGGAACUGUCUUCAGACAAGGGUGUAGCAGUAGCUGCACUACCCUGCAAACAUGCUCUCAAAGGAUUUAUCUGACCAAAUAAAACACAGAAACUCUCUUAAACUAAGAGUAUGGGAGUGCUG
rnacentral:snRNA from 1 species